AAAAAAACAAACCCUAUAUUUUCGUGUCCAAUUUUAACUGUCCGUCUUGUAUGAAAUUUUUUUAUAAUUCUUUUAAAUAAAAAAAUAUUAUUAAUACUUUAUGUGUGACUUGUCUUUUUAAUUUUUUUUCAUAAUUUUUUUAAAUAAGACGGACGGUCAAACGUUGGACAUGAAAACCAGGGUUUGUCUUUUU
rnacentral:pre_miRNA from 1 species